GAGUAGUGGGGGAUAACUGAUCGAAAGAUCAGCUAAUACCGCAUACGUCUUGAGAGAGAAAGCAGGGGACUUUCGGGCCUUGCGCUAUUCGAGCGGCCGAUAUCUGAUUAGCUGGUUGGUGGGGUAAAGGCCUACCAAGGCGACGAUCAGUAGCGGGUCUGAGAGGAUGAUCCGCCACACUGGGACUGAGACACGGCCCAGAC
rnacentral:rRNA from 1 species